rnacentral:lncRNA from 1 species
ACGAGUGGGUCUUUGUUCUUCAAAUUAGAUCUUUUCUUCAAUCUUCCGUAAUCAACUCUUCAAGACUCCAUUCAACACUACGAAAUCCGCCAACCUAUAAAAUCCUUAACAAUCUCCCCCUUUGGCGAUUUCGUGACAAAAUAUAUUACUAAGUUCGUACACAGCUCAUAAAUAAUAAAAAGAAGAUCAUCGCAAUCACCAAACGAUAAUCUCCUGCAUGAUCGAUCCAGUAAAAGAAAUUUACACUAUUACAACCUUAAUACAAACUCUAUGACUUAGACAUGGAGUCUUGAAGUCUUGAAUUAUUCCUGCAAAAACAUUCUUAAAACAUAGUCAAGAUUCAAGUAAACUUAUCAAGAUCAAAGUAUCAAGUCAUAGUUCAGCAAGUCAAAGUUCAUAGUCAAGCACAAGUCAAAUUUACACAACUAACAUAACUAAGCAAAGCUAAGCUAAAUGCAUAACAUAACUAAGCAAAAUGCCAUCUACACUAAGCAAAAUGCCAUCUAAGCUAAAUGCAUGCGUCAUGCGUCAUCAUCACCAUCGUCAUCAUCACCACCACCACCAUCAUCACCACCAUCUCCCCCUUUUUGUCAGAAAGCGCCAAAAUGACAAAAGAGGGAACCCGGCAACUCCUAAUCAGACGCAUCCCCUGGAGGUAAAUCUGCUCGGCAACACCCUAACUUGUCAAAAAUCAUAUUCAAUAAGCGCUUCAUCUUGCUCACAUCCUUCCGAAUCGCAGCUUGCUCCGCAGACAAUUUCUGAAGCUCCUCAGAUAGACGUUGUUGCUCAC